UCCAGACUUUUCUAGACUUUAUGCACAACAUAUUGUUGGUGUUAAUAUCUUGACCAAGUAAUUGGUGUUUUUGAAUUUUGCAGCUUAUGCAGAUGUAAACAUUGUUUUUGCAGUUGACGCUAUUCAAGCAUUAGGAGAAAUUGAAGGAGAAGAAACCUACUUCAACGGAGGCCCUUACCCAAGCUCUUCAGGCAAUGCACAAGUCCGGAUGCUUGAGUCUAACUGACAUUGUUGAAGGCAUGAUCUACCUUUAUUUCAGUUCUGAACUGUUUGUUUAACCUCUGAAUAAUGUCAUAUCAUUUCCUGGUGCUUAGAAGUAUCUUGUGUGGAAUAGCAUAGGGUUGACUCCCUAUUAUAUGCUAUUCCACACUUUUGUGUGAAACCGAUGUGGGAUCGUAUCAAUCCAUCCCUCUUUUAAACCGGGUGGCAAACCUAAAGCCACGGGCCCACCAUCCCUUUGCUGCCCUUUUCCUUCCGGCCCACAUUUUUCGGUGGCACCCCUUUGGUCACACCUACGGGUAGCCCCUUUUUUACCGGACAUCCGGAUUCACGAUCACCGCACCAAGCAUCCACCAAAAAAUUGCUCCAUGAGAUUUUUUCAGAAGUUUGUCGAACAUACUGUCCCUUAAUGAUGGAUGGAACAUCUGAUGUGCGGGAUGCAGCUUUGGCGGGCUAUUGACAAGGUAACUAUUUCAAGAUUUUCCGUCUACAUCUCGUUGUUUUUAAUUUCCAAUUUAGCUGUUUUGUCAUCUCUGUUAUUUAAAUGGUUGGUAUGAGACCAUUCGAGAGGUGUCUAGAAAAGCUGGAUAAUGUAAGACAAAAGAAGUUAUCUGAAAUGAUUAGGUUCCAUUGGGGAUCCUUCUGCUCUUCCAAACUCAAGUGUGGUUCAAUCUUCCGGAGGAGUUAUGACCACGGGAAAAUAUGCAAAAAGUGAGGUUCAAACGGAGAGAAGAAUGUGGUAGAUGUGCUUGCGUGAAGGUUACCGGAGCUGCAGUGGUCGCCGGAGAUAUAUUCAUAGCUUAUGUGUGUGUAAAAAUGGCGGUGGAUAUGUGUGUGGGUUUAAGGUGUAGAAGAUGUGGAGUGUGUAGAAUACUUCCGUAAGUGGAGGAAAGAGAGAUCAAAAUCUCAUUCCUUUUUGUAUCCAAUUUGUCUUUUUCUUUAUUCCAUUUCCCUUUUAUUUUUGUUUCUUUUAUCCACAUUGUAAUAACUACACAAUUAUAUAAUUCAAUUAUCUUAAUAAA